UCGUGCGUGCAAAUUACAGAGAAUAAUGCCGAUAAAUAUAUUUAAAAAUCUAGAACAGAGAGAGAGAGAGAGAUUCUCCUACUGCAAAAGGCGCGCCUUCGGGGAUAGUCGCUAUCCAGCUGUUUUUCUUUUAAGAGAUAGCAACUCGUUCUAAUGAUUAAAUUCCCGUGUAACUUUAACUCUUGAUACGGUUUUUCUCAUGGUUAAAAUUCGACCGAAAGCGUGACGAUGUUUAUAAAAGGGUUUCUUUUCAUUCGAGAGUAAUAAGGAAAUUGCUCGAUUAUUUUGGGUAUCUUCCUUUUAUACCGUCUCAUUACGACUGGGUUGUAGACCGAACACAGACAGUGGCAGAUGGUCUGAAAGGAAGCAAAGAUUAAGCCAACGAUUGGCCUCUCUCCUGGCAAAAGGGUUAAAGACGACUCCCCCCCCGGUCAACCCUUCCUUUCCCAGACAGGAAGACACAAUAGAACAGACUGUACAAUGGGGGUGGCCACUUUCGUCCAGUUCCUCCCUCCCACCUUUCGGUAUGCCUCCGUAGAAGAGAGUGUCCGCAGCGUGAGAACUUUUCCCUGCUUAAACUGUUUUUUAAUUGUGGUUCCGAACACGUUAGAGGUCUCAGGUACCCCGUGCACCUCUUACAUACAACUAACUUAUGUACACGUUUCUGAAAGACGAAGUUUUGUAGGGAAGUUUCUCUCGGAUCCUUAGGGAUUCGUUCCAACCCGAAAAAAAAGCGAUCCCUGGAGCGGUAAGGAGCAUCAUUGAUCAUAAAGGACGUCCAGAUCCGAUUUCCGAUUCUAAGUUUGGGGUGAGAAAACCCUAGAGAAGACGAGAAAAAUGGAGAUACUGCGGGACGGAUGCGAGAAACCAAUAAUAAUGCUUCACGUCUCCGUAAAAUAAAUUAAAAAAAAAAGAAGAAGUAAAAAAAGUUAUAGAUGCGGCCGCACCUUGCAAAAUUUUCUCUCUCUGGCAUUUCUGGAUUUGUCAGAGAGAGAGAGAGAGACCCUCUUUCCUCUUUUAGAAGAAUGCAGGACGGCCGCCAUGUUUGUAAUUAGUUUGUUGUCGUUUUGCAGUGAUUUCCGCCCCGACGUAAGUAGGCCGGCUAUCAGAAAGAAAUAAAAGAAACAAAGCGGAGAGAAAUAGAGAAACCAUUAAUAUUGUUUUUAACGCAGAACGGCGGGGAUUUUGAGCUUUUUUUUUCUUUUCUUCUUUUUUCUCUCUACGUCAUCGUCGUCGUCGUCGUCCUGGUAUAGGUGAAUGUUUGUACCGCAGCUUUUUCCUUCCCUCCCCCUCCUCCCUGGUUCUUUGGUCCGCACGUGAUUGUCUGGUAUUGAUCGGGUCUAUGCCAUUGAAGGAUGCGGGGUACGGUGAAGCCGAACGAGACAGCGUGAAGUGGAAACUGGGUCACCAACUGUCUGGUCUGGUUGCGGAGAAGCAAUGAGACUGACCUGGUCCGAGGGGUGGUCGGAUGCCAGCAACGCAUCGUUUCACUUCCCUGAAUAUUUUUCGAUUGUUCCAAUCCCGUAUUCCCUUCGUUGCCGUCUCUCUCUUCCCCGAUGCUCCGUGGACGCGUCUGUGUUUGUAAACCAUGGAAGGUCGUUGACCUUUGACAUUUAUCAGUUCUCUGCUUCCGUCUUUUUCUGUAGAAAGUGGCUGAUCAGAAAUACUAUGUUGCUCCACUUUUGCUUUAUUUUAAGAGAUAAUUGAUUAAUUUUUUUUCUUUUUCCUCAUUAUUAAUCCUUAGAAAUUAAUUAGGCUCUUAAUCUUUCUACUGUUUCUACAUAAAAUUAAUUUUGAUAAAACUUAAGUAUAUUACAGUAUUCAUCCCAGUUGAUCCUUCCCAAAUGUUUAAGAUAAAAGAUAAUUAAUAUUAAAUGUGGAGAAUAUCGUUAACCAUUAUAUAUAGAAUUUUAUUAAGCAUAUCUUAGGAUUAAUUUCUUAUUUACUAAAUGCAUUAUUGUGUUAUUAAGUGGUCCUAAAGGGUAUUCUUGUGAUUUUAUAAUAUUAUAUUUUGUUAUUUGAUUAGUUAAAUCUGCUAGAUGGUUGCAUUUUGAAGUGGAACAUCCUGUAACCAAUCAAAUUAGAUCAGUAGCAAUGACAGUUUACAUAAAUGUACUUGAUGGGAUCAUCAAUCUCAACAUAACCAUUUCAAAUAAUUCUAAAAUACAUAAAUGUUUCUUUGAAGAAGUCUCUCGUAAAAAUUUUGAUUAAAAAACACACAAAAAAAAUUCUCUAUUCAUGACCUCAUUGAAUGACAUCAAAAUUCUACUUGUUUUGUAUUCCAUUUUGCUUUCUUCCACUUAAAAAUCUUACAUCUCCAUAAAAGCAAACGUUUCUGAGAAAUGAAAGACUUUUAGAGAAAAAUGUAAAAUCCAAUGGCCCUUCCGGCUGCUGAAUUGUUCAAAUAAGUUGGGGCAUUGACGUUCUGCUUGCACGUGGAGAGAAAUGUGGUCGUGACCUUGCCCCAACUAUAUGCAGUACCUGAGGACACGGCCAGAUGCUAGUCUAGUCUGUCUAGUUGGAGGACAUUGUCCCUUCCUUCUCUUGUUUUACAUGUUGUCCCUUGGCACACAUCACUGCACCCUUUGAUUUCAUACAUCCCGCUGAUAUGGUGGUUCUAAUGAUGGGUGUGGAAUUUCUCGCUUGCCUUCGUUCUUUCAACGCUGUUAGCUAUUCAAGUAACAUGGAAAAUUUUAGAAUUUUAAAUAACUGAAACUGAUUUAAUUAUUUGCUGUUAAAUAAAUUCCAAAGAUUAAAACAAAUGCCGAAACAACAUCAAAAUAAAUUAUAAAAAAGUUUAAUUUAUUUCAAUAAUUAUUAUUAUUAUUAUUAUGAAG
rnacentral:lncRNA from 1 species